rnacentral:lncRNA from 1 species
GUCGCUGUCACUGCUGGGUGUCACCAGGGUGGUGUCACUGUCACUGCUGGGGUGUCACCAGGGUGGUGUCACUGUCACAGGUGGGGUGUCACCAGGGUGGUGUCGCUGUCACCCGUGCGGUGUCCCCGGUGUGAAAUCCCCACGAAGUUGUCACGGGGCGGGGUGUCACCCGGCUGUUGUCACCGGUCCGGUGUUGGUGCCAAGCCCGGUGUCCCCUUGUCACCCGCAGAGAGCCGCCUGGCCCUGCUGCUGUCCCUGUCCCUGCUGGGCUCCGUCACCGCGCUGGGGGCGGCCGCGUGGGGCAUCUACUACCUGAAGAGCACCGCCUGUAAGAAGGGGGAGUACAACGUGCGCGACGCCGAGGGUUCCUCCGAGGCCGCCCGCCUGCACCGCGGGGACAGCGGGGGACAACGGGAGCUCUUCGGGAUCCCGCUCACCCCCACCUGAGGGACGACGCCACCCGAGCCCCCCCCGGGGAACGCGGGCAUGUGGUGGGGACGGCGCGGUGACGUCCGCCCCGAGUGGUGGUGUUGGGUGUCGCCGCGCUGUCCCCGUGGGGGUGGGGGUGGUGGUGGUGGUGGCGGGGGGUCGCCGCAUUGUCCUCGAGGAAUGGUGUUGGAUGUCGUCAUGCUGUCCCCAAGGAGCGGUGUUGGAUGUCAUCGUACUGUCCCCAAGGAGCAGUGUUGUUGGAUGUCACCACAAUGUCUCCGAGGAAUGGUGUUGGAUGUCACCACACUGUCCCCAAGGAGUGGUGUUGGAUGUCGUCGUGCUGUCCCCAAGGAGCGGUGGUGUUGGAUGUCACCACACUGUCCCCAAGGAGUGGUGUUGGAUGUCGUCGUACUGUCCCCAAGGAGCGGUGUUGUUGGAUGUCACCGCAAUGUCCCCAAGGAACGGUGUUGUUGGAUGUCACCGCAAUGUCUCCGAGGAACGGUGUUGGAUGUCACCACACUGUCCCCAAGGAGUGAUGUUGUCGUACUGUCCUCAAGGAGCGGUGUUGUUGGAUGUCUCCGAGGAACGGUGUUGUUGGAUGUCACUGCAAUGUCUCCAAGGAACGGUGUUGGAUGUCACCGUAGUGUCUCCGAGGAGCGGUGUCAUCGUGCUGUCCCCAAGGAACGGUGUUGUUGGAUGUCACCACAAUGUCUCCGAGGAACGGUGUUGGAUGUCACCACACUGUCCCCAAGGAGUGAUGUCGUCGUACUGUCCCCAAGGAGCGGUGUUGUUGGAUGUCACUGCAAUGUCUCCGAGGAACGGUGUUGGAUGUCACCGCAAUGUCUCUGAGGAGCGGUGUCAUCGUACUGUCCCCAAGGAACGGUGUUGUUGGAUGUCACCGCAAUGUCUCCGAGGAACGGUGUUGCUGGAUGUCACCACACUGUCCCCAAGGAACGGUGUUGGAUGUCGUCGUACUGUCCCCAAGGA